UUUAAAGGAUGAAAACAUUGGUUUGUAUGGCUGCAACGAGUUGACUAUGUGAUUUAUAUGCCGUUUAUGAAGCAAGUUGAGACUUGGGAAUAGUGAUUAGGUGCUGAGCAAUGCAGGCACAGUUUUUUUUGUUUUUGUUUUGCCUUUUGUUCUGUGGUGCCUUCGUUAUAUUUUGGUCUGUGCAGUUUAGUAGGUUAGGCUGCAUUUACCAGAAAGUUGAUGGCAACUUUUAUAUCCUUUGCGAAUUAGGAUUCUCCAACAACUUUAGUAUACCUUGCACGUUGAAGUGUCCCUGUCCGAUCGUCUUGCUGCAGGAGGCACCUGGACCAAAAAACUAAGGGAAAGAAUGAGAAACUCAUAAAACUUGCAAGUGGAAGCAUCUGGUUGCUUAAAUAUGUAGUGAGGUUCUCGUUUGGUUUUAUAGAAACAUGUUACGGGCACUAUUCAAUCUGCUGGAAGUGCUUCUAGUGAUUGACUCUGGCUUGCUUAUGGUAUUGUAAUGCAGGAUGUAAACCAUCCACACAUAUUUAGUUCUUUUA